rnacentral:rRNA from 1 species
UCCUACGGGGGGCCGCAGUGAGGAAUAUUGGUCAAUGGGCGGGAGCCUGAACCAGCCAAGUCGCGUGAGGGAAGACGGUCCUACGGAUUGUAAACCUCUUUUGCCGGGGAGCAACGGGGUCCUUGCGAGGGCCCGAUGAGAGUACCCGGAGAAAAAGCAUCGGCUAACUCCGUGCCAGCAGCCGCGGUAAUACGGAGGAUGCGAGCGUUAUCCGGAUUUAUUGGGUUUAAAGGGUGCGUAGGCGGAAUGCCAAGUCAGCGGUAAAAUCGCGGGGCUCAACCUCGCUCCGCCGUUGAAACUGGCGU